GUGGGGAAUCUUGGACAAUGGGCGAAAGCCUGAUCCAGCCAUGCCGCGUGUGUGAAGAAGGUUUUCGGAUUGUAAAGCACUUUAUGUUGGGAGGAAGGGCAGUAAGUUAAUACCUUGCUGUUUUGACGUUACCGACAGAAUAAGCACCGGCUAACUUCGUGCCAGCAGCCGCGGUAAUACGAAGGGUGCAAGCGUUAAUCGGAAUUACUGGGCGUAAAGCGCGCGGAGGUGGUUUUGUAAGUUGGAGGUGAAAUCCCCGGGCUCAACCUGGGAACUGCCUUGAAAACUGCAUGACUAGAGUACGGGAGAGGGUAGUGGAAUUUCCUGUGUAGCGGUGAAAUGCGUAGAUAUAGGGAGGAACACCAGUGGCGAAGGCGACUAGCUGGACUGAGACUGACACUGAGGUGCGAAAGCGUGGGGAGCAAACAGGAUUAGAUACCCUUGUAGUCC
rnacentral:rRNA from 1 species